CGCCCUAGUUCUGACCGUAAACUAUGCCAUCUAGCGAUCCGAUGGGGUAUUGUUGCCUUGUCGAGGAGCUUCCCGGAAACGAAAGUCUUUCGGUUCCUGGGGUAGUAUGGUUGCAAAGCUGAAACUUAAAGAAAUUGACGGAAUGGCACCACCAGGAGUGGAGCCUGCGGCUUAAUUUGACUCAACACGGGAAAACUCACCCGGCCCGGACACCGUAAGGAUUGACAGAUUGAAAGCUCUUUCUCGAUUUGGUGGUUGGUGGUGCAUGGCCGUUCUUAGUUGGUGGAGCGAUUUGUCUGGUUUAUUCCGAUAACGAGCGAGACUCUAGCCUGCUAAAUAGUGGCUGGAUUUUUACGUCCAGUCUACUUCUUAGAGGGAUAAGCGGUGUUUAGCCGCACGAGAUUGAGCGAUAACAGGUCUGUGAUGCCCUUAGAUGUCCGGGGCUGCACGCGCGCUACAAUGGAAGAAUCAGCUGGCCUAUCCAUUGCCGAAAGGCAUUGGUAAACCGUUGAAACUCUUCCGUGACCGGGAUAGGGAAUUGUAAUUAUUUCCCUUGAACGAGGAAUUCCUAGUAAGUGUGAGUCAUCAGCUCACGCUGAUUACGUCCCUGCCAUUUGUACACACCGCCCGUCGCUGUCCGGGACUGAGCUGUCUCGAGAGGACUGCGGACUGCUGUCGCGAGGCCUUCGGGUCGCGUUAUGGCGGGAAACAGUUCAAUCGCAAUGGCUUGAACCGGGUAAAAGUCGUAACAAGGUAUCUGUAGGUGAACCUGCAGAUGGAUCAUCG
rnacentral:rRNA from 1 species